GUGCUCACUUCGGCAGCACAUAUACUAAAAUGGGAAUGAUACAGAGAAGAUUAGCAUGGCCCCUGUGCAAGGAUGAUACGUAAAUUUGUGAAGUGUUCCAUAUUUUU
ensembl:snRNA U6 U6 spliceosomal RNA